GAUCGAUCGAUCCAACCGAAUGCAUGGGCCAGCGGGUAGCAUAUGGCGGCACACUAUAAAUUGGAGGCCACCCCUGUGCGUCUCGUCCCAUCCAACUCAUCUCAGGAUCGAGUUGUGUACGUUUGUGUGUGCUGCUCUCUCUGCUACCUUGUGUCGAGAUGGCCGGAGUGGUGAUCACCGGGCGGGCCUUGGUGGCCGCCGUCGCUGUCGUGGUCGCCGUUUUGCUCGGCGGAGCGGCGGAGGCGCAGCAGCUGUCCCCCAACUUCUACUCGAGGACGUGCCCCAACCUGGCCACCAUCGUGCGGUCCGGGAUGGCGUCCGCCGUGCGGACGGAGCCCCGGAUGGGGGCCUCCAUCCUUCGCCUCUUCUUCCAUGAUUGCUUCGUCAAUGUAAUUAAGCAACGCAACAUUAUUUUUAAUUAAUUUUUUUGGCUGGUGCUGUUGCUGAUGAAUGAUCAUGAGCUCAUGAGUUAUGGUUUUAUGGUUGUCUGGUGGGGUUGGUUGCAGGGAUGUGACGGCUCGAUCCUGCUUGACGACACGUCGACGUUCACCGGCGAGAAGAGCGCCGGCCCGAACGCCAACUCGGCCCGCGGGUUCGAGGUGAUCGACGCCAUCAAGACGCAGGUGGAGGCCUCCUGCAAGGCCACCGUCUCCUGCGCCGACAUCCUCGCCCUCGCCGCCCGCGACGGCGUCAACCUGGUCAGUGUACUACAUACGCUGCUCUGACACGUACGUGAAACCACCCGUACGUCACUGAAAUUUUACCAGUGGCUGACAUGUUCUUUUGGUGUGCAGCUGGGUGGGCCAACGUGGAGCGUGGCGCUGGGGCGGAAGGACUCGCGCACGGCGAGCCAGAGCGCGGCGAACAGCAACCUGCCGGGGCCCGGGUCGAGCCUCGCCACGCUCAUCAGCAUGUUCGGCAACCAGGGCCUCUCGGCGCGCGACAUGACGGCGCUGUCGGGCGCCCACACCAUCGGCCGCGCCCAGUGCCAGUUCUUCCGCAGCCGCAUCUACACCGAGCGCAACAUCAACGCCUCCUUCGCGUCGCUCCGGCAGCAGACGUGCCCGCGCUCCGGCGGCGACGCCAACCUCGCGCCGUUCGACGUGCAGACGCCCGACGCCUUCGACAACGCCUACUACCAGAACCUCGUGUCGCAGCGCGGCCUGCUCCACUCCGACCAGGAGCUCUUCAAUGGCGGCUCGCAGGACGGCCUCGUCAGGCAGUACAGCACCAACCCCUCCCAGUUCUCCUCCGACUUCGUCUCCGCCAUGGUCAAGAUGGGCAACCUGCUGCCGUCCUCCGGCACCGCCACGGAGGUCAGGCUCAACUGCAGGAAGGUGAACUAAUUAAGGAUGAUAAACCCCAAUUCCCAUCGCAUUGCAUUUGCAGGUGAUCAUUUCCGAUGAUCACCGUCUUCGCCGACGACCUGGGAACCAAUGCGCCGGUGAGAUAUCAAAACACAAGAAGAGACGAAACGUGAAAUACUUGUUUGAUAAUGUAUUACCACAAAGUGUAAUAAUGUGCGACGCUUAUAUAUGAUGAUAUAUACCAUGGUAAAUUAUCGCAACCACGACAAUGUAUUUUUUUUAUGAUGCAUGAUAAUACAAUCCUUGCUGUUAAA
rnacentral:lncRNA from 1 species